GAUGAACGCUGGCGGCGUGCCUAAUACAUGCAAGUCGAGCGAACAGACGUGGAACUUGCCUCCUUGCCGUUAGCGGCGGACGGGUGAGUAACACGUGGAUACCCUCCCCAUUAGAGUGGGAGACCUUCGGGGAACAGGAGCUCAUACCGGGUAAACUGUUGAACCGCAUCGUUCAACAGUGAAAAACGGUCUUGCUGUCACUUAAGGAUGGAUCCGAGCCGGAUUAGCUAGUUGGUUAGGUAGCGGCUUACCAAGGCAACGAUGGUUGGCCGACCCAGGAGAGUGAUCGCCCCCAUGGGAACUGAGACACGGUCCGGACUCCUAGGGGAGGCAGCGGUGGGGAAUCUUCCGCAUUGGGCGAAGUCCUGACGGAGCAACGCCGCGGGGUGGAAGAGGGUCUUCGGUUCGUAAACCCUUGUUAUUGGGGAAGAACAAAUUUGUGAGUAACGAUGCACGUCUUGACGGUACCGAAUCAGAAAGCCACGGCUAACUACGUG
rnacentral:rRNA from 1 species